CGCCCCCCCCUCUACGCGUCAUGGCGGCCUGUGAGGAGAAAGGCUUGGCGGAAACGCUGAAGUCUCAAAUAGAGAAUAAAUGUUGAUCAUUGCACAAGGCAAACAUAUCCUGCCUGCUGGCCUGCAUGGUGCUUCCUCCCAAUUUCUCUCAACCCAGCCGGUCUGCGAACAAGUACCUGUGCAGAAGCUGAUGAUUCAUUAGAAUGAAAAGCUUGCUCCACCCAUCGGAACCUAGUUCAGCUGCUGAUCGAUUGUGUGACUGCGGAAAUGGA